AAGUCGUAACAAGGUUUCCGUAGGUGAACCUGCGGAAGGAUCAUUAAUAAAUGCUUCAUUGCAUCCACCUUUUGUGCACUGUAAAUAUUUCACUUGAAUUUUGUCUGAUUAAUCUUUGUUCUGAAAGAACAUGAAUUAUAAUCUAAUACAACUUUUAACAAUGGAUCUCUUGGCUCUC
rnacentral:misc_RNA from 1 species